CAAUAGCGUAUAUUAAAGUUGUUGCAGUUAAAAAGCUCGUAGUUGGAUUUGUGGCGUACGGUGGGUUCCGGGCACUUGUUGUCUGAGUAACUUGCUGUUGCCAUCCUUGGGUGGAACCUGUGUGGCAUUAGGUUGUCGUGCAGGGGAUGCCCAUCAUUUACUGUGAAAAAAUUAGAGUGUUCAAAGCAGGCUUAUGCCGUUGAAUAUAUUAGCAUGGAAUAAUGAGAUAGGACUUUUUUGCUAUUUUGUUGGUUUGCGCAAAGAGGUAAUGAUUAAUAGGGACAGUUGGGGGUAUUCGUAUUCCAUUGUCAGAGGUGAAAUUCUUGGAUUGUUGGAAGACGAACUACUGCGAAAGCAUUUACCAAGGAUGUUUUCAUUAA
rnacentral:rRNA from 1 species